AGUGAACGCUGGCGGCGUGCCUAAUACAUGCAAGUCGAACGGAGUGGCGCACGGGAGAGCAAUAUAUAGCUAAUCUGCCCCUUGCUGGAGGACAACAGUUAGAAAUGACUGCUAAUACUCCAUAGCAAGGGAUGAGACUAUAUCGUAUCAGCUAGUCGGUGGGGUAACGGCCUACCGAGGCUAUGACGCGUAACUGGUCUGAGAGGAUGAUCAGUAACAUUGUAACUGAGACACGGUCCAAACUACUAAGGGAGGCAGCAGUAGGGAAUAUUGCGCAAUGGGGGAAACCCUGACGCAGCAACGCCGCAUGGAGGAUGACACUUUUCGGAGCGUAAACUCCUUCGCGCGGAAGCGUGGUAGUGGGUAAAGAAGCGCCGGCUAACUACGUGCCAGCAGCCGCGGUAAUUC
rnacentral:rRNA from 1 species